rnacentral:rRNA from 1 species
AACAAACGCUGGCGGCGUGCAUAACACAUGCAAGUCUAACGGGAAAGUCGGCUUCGGCUGGCAAGUACCGUGGCGAACGGGUGAGUAACACGUGGGUAAUCUAACCUCGAGUUUGGGAUAACCUUGCGAAAGCGGGGCUAAUACCGAAUAAGACCACGCUCUGUCCGCAGAGUGCGGUAAAAGGCGGCCUCUUCUUGAAAGCUGUCACUUGAGGAUGAGCCCGCGGCCUAUUAGCUAGUUGGUGGGGUAAUGGCCUACCAAGGCGACGAUGGGGAGCCGGCCUGGGAGGGUGUACGGCCACACUGGCACUGAGAUACGGGCCAGACUCCUACGGGAGGCAGCAGUGGGGAAUUUUGCGCAAUGGGGGAAAGCCUGACGCAGCAACGCCGCGUGGGGGAUGAAGGUUCUCGGAUUGUAAACCCCUUUCGAUCGGAACGAAUCUCCUCCUGGUGAAUAAUCAGGAGGAUCGACGGUACCGGGAGAAGAAGCCACGGCUAACUCUGUGCCAGCAGCCGCCGUAAGAC